UACGGGGGGAGCAAGCGUUGUUCGGAUUUACUGGGCGUAAAGGGCGCGUAGGCGGCCUUCUAAGUCAGACGUGAAAUCCCUCGGCUCAACCGAGGAACUGCGUCUGAUACUGGAAGGCUUGAAUCCGGGAGAGGGAUGUGGAAUUCCAGGUGUAGCGGUGAAAUGCGUAGAUAUCUGGAGGAACACCGGUGGCGAAGGCGGCAUCCUGGACCGGUAUUGACGCUGAGGCGCGAAAGCUAGGGGAGCAAACGGG
rnacentral:rRNA from 1 species